rnacentral:rRNA from 1 species
UACGUAGGCAGCGAGCGUUGUUCGGAAUUAUUGGGCGUAAAGAGUGUGUAGGCGGUGCUCCCAGUCUGGUGUGAAAUCUCCCGGCUUAACUGGGAGGGUGCAGCGGAAACUAGAGUGCUAGAGGGUGGGAGAGGUAAGCGGAAUUCCUGGUGUAGCGGUGAAAUGCGUAGAUAUCAGGAGGAACACCUGCGGUGUAGACGGCUUUCUGGACCAUUGCUGACGCUGAGACACGAAAGCGUGGGUAGCAAACAGG